UACGGAGGAUCCGAGCGUUAUCCGGAUUUAUUGGGUUUAAAGGGUGCGCAGGCGGGAGAUUAAGUCGGCGGUGAAAUUUUGCAGCUCAACUGUAAAAGUGCCUUCGAUACUGGUUUCCUUGAGUGUGGAUGAAGUAGGCGGAAUUUGUGGUGUAGCGGUGAAAUGCUUAGAUAUCACGAGGAACUCCGAUUGUGCAGGCAGCUUACUAAACCACUACUGACGCUCAGGCACGAAGGCGUGGGGAUCAAACAGGAUUAGAUACCCCGGUAGUCCCU
rnacentral:rRNA from 1 species